AAUUAAGAAGAUGAGCACUUUACCCGCUGCGCCUUGGUCCAAUCCUUACGACGCCUAUGACAGUAGGGAGGGGUUGGUAAUCAUAUUUUUUUUUGUCUGAGAGGAAGCCAUCUUGAGCCCUAAUGGGUCCAGCAGCAUUAUGAGACAAGUAGAUGUGGAUCCGAAAAGUAGAUCAAGUGACAGCAAAAUGGCCACAUCAAUUAUGCAUACAGACAUGAUCUCAUAGUGGAUAAGAGUCUUUGUUCACAUGCACACUGUUUAACACUGAGUGUGGUGCCAUGCAAAUGGACACGAGGGACACAUUCGUUUUACAAUAAUGUAUCAGCAGAAGAACAAUAUGUUGCUCAAAAAACAAGUGUGACUAAUGUUGUGCAUUAUAUGAUUUGUUUUCAGAAUGCUGUAGCCCCUAAUAACGCAGUUAUGCAGAUUUGUCUCAAUUAUGUGGUUUAAUCAAGGGUAUCAACCUGAAAUAUUUGAUGAGAAUGAGAUGGAUCUAGAUGUGCAGGGUUAUAAAUGGGGAUGGACACUUGGUUGAAUUAUGGUCCUGACUUCUUUCUGUUCUUCCACAUGUGAUGUUCCCUUCAUGGUGGGCAGAGAAGAACUUUACAGUUUCACUCUGAGUCAUUGUCUACCCCUUCCUCUUUUCUAAGGCAUGUUGAGGGAAAUAAUAACAAAACAAGUUGUUUUUCUAUUACAGUUGUAAUGGGGAAGUACUAAUAAAUAACCAGCUUUGUUAGCCAUCUGGGGGUGAAACAUCACAUAUCUUAAAGCUGGUGUAUUCAGAGCUCAACUCUCCUACCAUGUUUCAGAGGAUCCAUGAACAUUUUACGGCACAUUUUAGAUAAAUACCAUCGGUGCGAGGAGUCAUUAUGAGCAAGGCAAUGGACCUAGAGUACCCUACCUUCUCUCUGGAGACAGUGGACAGGAAGAAUGAUGAGAAGGCACAGAGCAGACAGGUGAAGAAUCCUGACUGCCAUGGAGGAGGAACUGGAGAAUGCCAUACCCAAGAUCAGAUUCAAUCUCAACUUUGACAAG